GACGAACGCUGGCGGCGCGCUUAACACAUGCAAGUCGAGCGAGAACCGGGCCUUCGGGCCCGGGGAAAGCGGCGAACGGGUGAGUGUCACGUGGGUAAUCUGCCCUCGGCAUCGGGAUAGCCCGGGGAAACUCGGAUUAAUACAGAAUACACUCCGGAGCCUUCGGGCGCUGGAGAAAAGGGUGGCUUCGGCUUCCGGCUGGGGAUGAGCCCGCGGCGGAUUAGCUUGUUGGCGGGGUAACGGCCCACCAAGGCAACGAUCCGUAGCUGGUCUGAGGGGACGAUCAGCCACACGGGGACUGAGAAACGGCCCAGACUCCUACGGGAGGCAGCAGGGGGGAAUCUUGCGCAAGGGGCGAAAGCCUGACGCAGCGACGCCGCGGGCGGGAAGAAGCCCUUCGGGUUGUAAACCGCUUUCAGGUGGGACGAAGCCACUCGGGUUAAUAGCCCAGGGGGUGACGGUACCUCCAGAAGAAGCCCCGGCUAACUACGUGCCAGCCGCCGCGGUAAAAC
rnacentral:rRNA from 1 species